UCAAGAGAUUGCUAGUAGCCGCCUUGCCCUUACCUAAAUUAAUUUGGCCGAAAUUUAAAACGAAAUCCGCGUCGGGGUUAUUUUUAUGGUUUUUAGUUACCAUAAAAAUCUAUGUUUGAUAGAAUAGAGUUUUUAAUUCUAUUCAUCGUCGGGCAAGACUGGCUUUUGGCGUCAUGGUCUGUACUGACGGGCGCGUGUUUUUUGUCCUUGUUCGACUUGACACAAACUACACACGAGGUAGUUUUGGAUUUACAGUCUUUAAAACUGUGUUUACCGCCACAUUUUCCGCAGAUUUGCUGUUUGACCUUGCAAUUCUUAGAUAAGUGCCCAAAGUCGUAACAUUGGAAACACUGUAAUAAAGAAAAAUGGUCCCUAAUAAAAACGCGCUGCCAAUUUAAAUAAAUCGGCCUAUCUAGCAUUUUUUGUCGCAGUAUUGGGUUGAUCUCAAAAAUGGCGCUAUAACUGUUCUUACUAUUAUGAAUUUCGAACACCGCUAACUGUCUAAAAUCAUUCUUAAACUUAUUUACGUCAUUGCCGUAAAUACUAUCUAUGAAGUCAUUAUGCCCUAAUAUCGUUUCAUGUAAAUCGUUCGCGUUUAAUUCUUUGUUUACCCUGUCUAUCCUAACUCUUGGCCACCGUUUUUUAAUAUCUCUAACCGCAACAUCGUCUUUUGCUUUAAUUAGCAACGACUUUUUAAUUUUUUCCGCGUCCUCCUUCCUAGCACAGUCGACAACUAAUACGCCUGAUUUCGUGGCCCUAAAAUUUUUGACCGCGAUAUUAUUUUUUAUCGGAUCUACUGAGCGCAUAACCACUUUCCUAACAUACUCUACGUCUUUCCCUUCUUUUUUCGAUUCAAUUCUUACUGGAUAAGAAUGUUCAGUAACCCUAGUAUUAAUAUUUGUCACACUUUUCCCUGAUCUAAGUUUGUCUGCAUAGGAAAAACAAGGCGCACUUACCGCUUGUGGUGGUUGCUUUUCCAAAGCUUUCAACUCCUGUUCUUUUUUCUCUAAGUUGUGCCGCAGUUCUUUAAUCACGCCGGCCAUUUGGACGACGUUUUCCAUAAGGAGGUCCGCCGAUUCCCUAAUAAUUUUCCUAUCCGCAACUUUAAUUGUGUCGGCCUUCAUUGGGAUGAGGGACCGUACAAUUUUGUAAAAUUUCCUCGCGUUAGCCGACAUGCCGUCUUCCGGGAGGGUACCUAAAACAGGAGUUUGUUCUCCAUUGAUUGUUAGGCAUCGCACAACCGAACGGUUCGGAGGCUCCAUGCGAACUCCGAGCCGAAGACAGCAGGACGGUGGCCAUGGAAUUCGCCAAGGGGUGUGUAACAACUCACCUGCCGAAGUUACUAGCCCUGGAAAUGGUUGGCGCUGUAGCGUCGUGCUUAUACUCUUCCGUCAGUAGCAGGAGCGGCGCGGCCCUAGCGGUCGCGUCACGAAGCUCUGACGAGUAGGAGGUUCGCGGCGGUGAGCCCAGAGGAAUCGGGCGUGGGCCCGCCUGGAGCUGCCGUCGGCGCAAAUCUUGGUGGUAAUAGUAAAUACUCCCAGAGAGGCACUGAAGGACUGACGUGAAGAAGGGUUUCGUGUAAACAGCCGUUGCAAACGAGCCAGUCGAUCCUAAGCACUAGGCGAAAGCCGAUGUCGAUGUGGCGUGUUUAUUGAACCAUGAUGCUGUCCGUUCACGUCCGACAGGCGAAAGGGAAUCCGGUUCCUAUUACGUGAGAGUUUGUCGGGGUAACCCAAAAAGACCCGGAGACGCCGUCGGGAAAUCCCGGAAGAGUUUUCUUUUCUGCGUGAGCGUUCGAGUUUCAUGGAAUUCUCUAGUAGGGAGAUAUGGUUUGGAACGCGAAGAGCACCGCAGUUGCGGCGGUGUCCGGAUCUUCCCCUCGGACCUUUAAAAUCCGCCAAAUGGCCACGUGCGGGUGUUGCGCCUGAUCGUACCCACAUCCGCAGCCGGUCUCCAAGGAUAGAAGCCUCUAGUCGAUUCAAUAAUGUAAGUAAGGGAAGUCGACAAAUUGGACCUGUUAUUGGAGUUGCCAUUAACUGACCGGGUGUGCAGUGUUUGUCUCCACUCUGCAAGAGGCAACUUCAUGGCAUUCAGCUUGAGU
rfam:Agrilus planipennis Contig29614, whole genome shotgun sequence.